GAAAUUACGGAAGAUAUUUAUUCAAUAAUUUCUCCAUUUAUUAAUUCAGUUGAUGUUGAUUUAAUAAAAACAACAGCUUUAUUUGUCGCAAGGAAUGGAAAUAAAUUUUUAAAUGAACUUAUUCAUAGAGAAAAAAAUAACAAUCAAUAUGAUUUUUUAAGAGCAAACAAUUUAUAUUUUAAUUACUUUUCUAAGCUUAUUGAUAUAUAUACAAAAUGUAUACUUCCAAAUGAUACCAUACUAAAUAAAAUCAAAACUUAUUCUAAUAAUAAAACUGAUAUAUUAAAUUAUUCUUAUAGUUUAUUUGUUUCUAAUAUGAAAAAAAAAGAAGAAGAACAAAGAAAAAUGGAGGAAAAAUUAAAAAAUAAUGCCUUUUAUGAUUGGUCAAGUUUUACUAUUGUCGAAACAAUCAAUUUUGAUGAAGAUAUUUAUUAUCUUCCCCAAUCUAUAGAUUUCAAUAAUGUGGAAAAUUAUGUAUUAAAUCAGUUAUUUGACACAGAUAAUACAUACACGAAUUUGGAAAAAAUUAAUAACAUUACAUAUCACACUAAUCACAUGGAUACUACUAAUAAAAUAUAUGAACAAAAUAAAUUAGAGGAAAAUAUUACUACAAACCAACCAUAUGAACAUGUACAAACAGACGAAAAUGCAAUAAACUACCAAAAAAAUAAAUAUGACCAAAACAAUUUAGAAGAAUAUGAACAAGAUGAUUAUAACACCUUACAAAAAUAUAAUAAUAUGGGUGAUUCAUAUAUGGGCGAAUUAGAUAAAAAUGCAUCCAUUGAUAAAAAACGUAAUGAUACUAAUAAAAUCGAUGAACGGAGCGAUGAAAGAAGUGAUGAUGAUAAUGAUGAAGAAGAAAUGAUAGUCGUUAAGAAUUACGAAAAAAACAAAAAGCACCGAUUAAAUAAUGAAAAUGUACAUUUAUGUCCAAUUACUCACCAACCAAUAGAUAUAAAUGAUAUGACAAAACAUUUAAAAACAUUAUUAUUAGAUCCUAAAUGGAAAGAGCAAAAAGAUAAGUUAUACGAAAGAGCUAAAAAAGAAGCUUCUUUUACCCCGCUUGAAGAUAUUGAAGGAAACUUAUCUGUUUUUGUAGUUAACAGACCAGAUAUUUUUGGUUCAAUUGAUGAAGAAAUUAAUGAACAUACUUCACUUGAAAAUAAAAAAAAAACUAAUAACAAAAAAGAACAAAAUGAUGUCAAAAAUUAUAUUAAAAAUAUUUUUAAUAAAAUAAUGCCUGGACCUGCUAUGGACCAUUAUCCACAAAAUAAUGAUCAAGAACAAAAUGAUUCUAAUCAACAUAAAAAGCAAAAAACGAGUUAGCUAGUA
rnacentral:lncRNA from 1 species